CUCUUCCAACUUCUCCCUCCACGCCGCCAGCUUCUCUGCCACAUAUGGGCAUAAAACGAAUAGAGAUUUCUGAUUGGCUGACGGCUGGACGGUGCGGUUUGAUUCAACUAAACGCGAGACACAGUUGGAAAGGUUCAAAGUAUGCGGUUCCCGUUUUCUUUGAAAUUUCUGCGUGUCAUAAUUGCGGAAGAGCGUGAAAUGUGAAUAUUUCGUUUGUAAAGCUAUAUAGAAAUUCAGAAUGUACCCUGUAAUUAGACAUCACUUACUGAAUUGGGUCCGUACACAUAUGAGGGUGUGUUUGGCCUGGGGAGCAUUGGGCCGAUACUAAAUGACGAGGAGUACCUGCCAUUUUGUGAUGUGGUAUCAGAACCGCCGGAAGGCGCUGAGCGCUGACUGACCUCCCUCGCCGUCUCGUGACGUCAGGAGGAUCUCGGUUUCUGGGGUCGCAGCGCCCAGUCAGCGGUCGCGGCACGGCCAGUGGAGAAUGCGUCGACGCCACGCGGCGAUUCAGCCGCUUACAUUUCGUGGUGCUGAAUGGUGACUACUGGAGAGAGAGAGAG